AUUUAAAAAAUCAAUUUUCAAUAUUCUCUACAGGCCUACUAGGUCACUGUGAUGAAUCACAAUAUUUGAGGAAAACUAUAUAACAAUUUUACCAAUGAUCACUCCCAUAUUUUACUGAUCAGAAUUCCUUUUUCUGAUUUUAUCAACAAUCUUAGCAGAAAAUGGGGUUGCACAACCCCCUACCCCACACACAAGGUACACCCUGUACUUCAGGCACCCUUAAAAUUCAGUAUUUUUUGUGCAUUUCUCUUUGUCAUUUCACAUGCAUUUUUCUUUGCAAAAUUAUCCCACAUUUAUAACACAGUACACAGCUGAAGUAAUUUAAUUUAACUUUUUCAAAGAAUAAUAAUUAAUUACAAUAAAUUAUUUUAAAAUCUAAACUGUUCUAAUAACUUUGUUGCCCCACUGGCUAUGACUAAUUUGUUCUCUGCUGUUCAGUAUCUUGAAACUUCUAGGGGCACUCUUACUAGGGGGUACUACUGGUCCUGGCCAGUACACCACUACUCCUGCUAUUUGAACCUCCAAAGACCUUGUGUUUCAUUCUUGUCCACAUUAAAGUUUCAACCUAAAUAAGAAAAGUGAGUAAUGUUUAAAUAUAUUGUCAUAGUUAGCUAGUCUAUCAUUGGGUCAUUCCAGAAAACAUCCAUACCACCCCCACAGAGGAAUUAGGAAGUUAACCCCCUACCCCCUUAGGAAGUCCUAAUACAUUUACUAUUAUCAGAAACAAUUUUUUCUUCCUUCCCCCUCUGGAUGGCAGAAAUUUCCUCUGUGGGGGGAGUAUGGA